rnacentral:rRNA from 1 species
UACGUAGGGUGCGAGCGUUAUCCGGAAUUAUUGGGCGUAAAGGAUGCGUAGAUGGUUCAGUAAGUUACUGGUGGGAAAUCGAGGCCCAACCUCGUGGAAGUUAGUAAUACUGUUGAACUUGAGUGCAGGAGAGGUUAACGGAACUUCAUGUGGAGCGGUAAAAUGCGUAGAUAUAUGAAAGAACAUCAAUAUGGCGAAGGCAGUUAACUAUUCUGCUACUGACAUUGAGGCAUGAAAGCGUGGGGAGCAAAACGG